rnacentral:tRNA from 1 species
AGCUAGGUGGCUCAGUGGAUAGAGCACCAGCCUUGGAGUCAGGAGGACCUGGGUUCAAAUCCUGCCUCAGAUA